rnacentral:rRNA from 1 species
UACGUAGGGGGCAAGCGUUGUCCGGAUUUAUUGGGCGUAAAGAGCGUGUAGGCGGCUUGGUAGGUCCGCUGUGAAAACUCGAGGCUCAACCUCGAGAUGUCGGCGGAAACCACUUGGCUAGAGUCCGGAAGAGGAGAGUGGAAUUCCCGGUGUAGCGGUGAAAUGCGCAGAUAUCAGGAGGAACACCGGUGGCGAAGGCGGGUCUCUGGGCCGAUACUGACGCUGAGGAGCGAAAGCGUGGGGAGCGAACAGG